rnacentral:rRNA from 1 species
UACGUAGGGACCAAGCGUUGUCCGGAAUCAUUGGGCGUAAAGAGCGUGUAGGCGGCCUGUUAAGUCUUGCGUGAAAUCUCGGGGCCUCAACCCCCGAGCGGUCGUGAGAAACUGGGCAGGGCUAGGAGUGCGGGGAGAGGGAGAGUGGAAUUCCUGGUGUAGCGGUAGAAAUGCGCAGAUAUCAGGAAGAACACCCCGUGGCGAAGGCGGCUCUCUGGAACGCAACUGACGCUGAGACGCGAAAGCGUGGGGAGCGAACAGG